rnacentral:snRNA from 1 species
AGAGGGCUGGCAGAGGAGAUACCAUGAUCACAAAGGUGGUUUUCCCAGGGCGAGGCUUAUCCAUUGCACUCAGGAUGUGCUGACCCCUGCAAUUUCCCCAAAUGUGGGAAACGCGACUGCAUAAUUUGUGGUAGUGGGGGACUGCGUUCGUGCUUUCCCCUG